AAUCUGGGGUCCCCGACCUCCGAGUUGUAAUUUGGAGAGGCAUCUUCGGGGGGGAGCGCCGGCCCAUGUUCCUUGGAACAGGACGUCGCAGAGGGUGAGAAUCCCGUGCCAGGCCGGCUCCCUCCUCCCGGGUGAAGCGCCUUCGACGAGUCGAGUUGUUUGGGAAUGCAGCUCCAAGUGGGUGGUAAGUUUCAUCUAAAGCUAAAUACCGGCGGGAGACCGAUAGCGCACAAGUAGAGUGAUCGAAAGAUGAAAAGCACUUUGAAAAUAGAGUCAAAAAGUACGUGAAAUUGUUGAAAGGGAAGCGCUUGAGACCAGAYUCAGGCCCGGGCAAACACCGCGCCCCCCCGGGGCCGUGCAAUUGCCUGGGGCUGGGCCAGCAUCAGUCGGCGUGGCGGGAAAAAGGCGCGGGUAAUGUGGCUCCCCUCGGGGAGUGUUACCAGCCCCGCGCUCAAUGCCGCCGACGCCGACUGAGGACCGCGCCUCGGCUAGGAUGCUGGCUUAAUGGCCUUCAGCGACCCGUCUUGAAACACGGACCAAGGAGUCUAACAUCUAUGCGAGUGUUUGGGCGCCAAACCCUUGCGCGGAAUGAAAGUGAGCGGAGGUGGGAACCCCCC
rnacentral:rRNA from 1 species